rnacentral:rRNA from 1 species
GUGGGGAAUAUUGGACAAUGGGCGCAAGCCUGAUCCAGCCAUGCCGCGUGAGUGAUGAAGGCCCUAGGGUUGUAAAGCUCUUUCACCGGUGAAGAUAAUGACGGUAACCGGAGAAGAAGCCCCGGCUAACUUCGUGCCAGCAGCCGCGGUAAUACGAAGGGGGCUAGCGCUGUUCGGAAUUACUGGGCGUAAAGCGCACGUAGGCGGGUAUUUAAGUCAGGGGUGAAAUCCCAGAGCUCAACUCUGGAACUGCCUUUGAUACUGGGUACCUAGAGUAUGGAAGAGGUAAGUGGAAUUCCGAGUGUAGAGGUGAAAUUCGUAGAUAUUCGGAGGAACACCAGUGGCGAAGGCGGCUUACUGGUCCAUUACUGACGCUGAGGUGCGAAAGCGUGGGGAGCAAACAGGAUUAGAUACCCUUGUAGUCC